GGGUUGUGAGGUUAAGCGACUAAGCGUACACGGUGGAUGCCCUGGCAGUCAGAGGCGAUGAAGGACGUGCUAAUCUGCGAAAAGCGACGGCGAGGUGAUAUGAACCUUUGACCCGUCGAUGUCCGAAUGGGGAAACCCAGUGCAAUCCGUUGCACUAUCGUUAACUGAAUACAUAGGUUAACGAGGCGAACCGGGGGAACUGAAACAUCUAAGUACCCCGAGGAAAAGAAAUCAACCGAGAUUCCCCCAGUAGCGGCGAGCGAACGGGGAGCAGCCCGGAGUCUGAAUCAGCUUGUGUGUUAGUGGAACGGUCUGGAAAGUCCGACGGUACAGGGUGAUAGUCCCGUACACGAAAACACACUUGCUGUGAACUCGAAGAGUAGGGCGGGACACGUGGUAUCCUGUCUGAAUAUGGGGGGACCAUCCUCCAAGGCUAAAUACUCCUGACUGACCGAUAGUGAACCAGUACCGUGAGGGAAAGGCGAAAAGAACCCCGGCGAGGGGAGUGAAAAAGAACCUGAAACCGUGUACGUACAAGCAGUGGGAGCCUCUUUAUGGGGUGACUGCGUACCUUUUGUAUAAUGGGUCAGCGACUUAUAUUCUGUAGCAAGGUUAACCGUAUAGGGGAGCCGAAGGGAAACCGAGUCUUAACUGGGCGUUAAGUUGCAGGGUAUAGACCCGAAACCCGGUGAUCUAGCCAUGGGCAGGUUGAAGGUUGGGUAACACUAACUGGAGGACCGAACCGACUAAUGUUGAAAAAUUAGCGGAUGACCUGUGGCUGGGGGUGAAAGGCCAAUCAAACCGGGAGAUAGCUGGUUCUCCCCGAAAGCUAUUUAGGUAGCGCCUCGUGAACUCAUCUUCGGGGGUAGAGCACUGUUUCGGCUAGGGGGCCAUCCCGGCUUACCAACCCGAUGCAAACUACGAAUACCGAAGAAUGUUAUCACGGGAGACACACGGCGGGUGCUAACGUCCGUCGUGAAGAGGGAAACAACCCAGACCGCCAGCUAAGGUCCCAAAGUCAUGGUUAAGUGGGAAACGAUGUGGGAAGGCACAGACAGCCAGGAUGUUGGCUUAGAAGCAGCCAUCAUUUAAAGAAAGCGUAAUAGCUCACUGGUCGAGUCGGCCUGCGCGGAAGAUGUAACGGGGCUAAACCAUGCACCGAAGCUGCGGCAGCGACACUAUGUGUUGUUGGGUAGGGGAGCGUUCUGUAAGCCGUUGAAGGUGGCCUGUGAGGGUUGCUGGAGGUAUCAGAAGUGCGAAUGCUGACAUAAGUAACGAUAAAGCGGGUGAAAAGCCCGCUCGCCGGAAGACCAAGGGUUCCUGUCCAACGUUAAUCGGGGCAGGGUGAGUCGACCCCUAAGGCGAGGCCGAAAGGCGUAGUCGAUGGGAAACAGGUUAAUAUUCCUGUACUUGGUGUUACUGCGAAGGGGGGACGGAGAAGGCUAUGUCAGCCGGGCGACGGUUGUCCCGGUUUAAGCAUGUAGGCGGAGGUUCCAGGUAAAUCCGGUACCUUUUAACGCUGAGGUGUGAUGACGAGGCACUACGGUGCUGAAGUGAUAAAUGCCCUGCUUCCAGGAAAAGCCUCUAAGCAUCAGGUAACACGAAAUCGUACCCCAAACCGACACAGGUGGUCAGGUAGAGAAUACCAAGGCGCUUGAGAGAACUCGGGUGAAGGAACUAGGCAAAAUGGUGCCGUAACUUCGGGAGAAGGCACGCUGAUAUGUAGGUGAAGUCCCUGCGGACGGAGCUGAAAUCAGUCGAAGAUACCAGCUGGCUGCAACUGUUUAUUAAAAACACAGCACUGUGCAAACACGAAAGUGGACGUAUACGGUGUGACGCCUGCCCGGUGCCGGAAGGUUAAUUGAUGGGGUUAGCGGCAACGCGAAGCUCUUGAUCGAAGCCCCGGUAAACGGCGGCCGUAACUAUAACGGUCCUAAGGUAGCGAAAUUCCUUGUCGGGUAAGUUCCGACCUGCACGAAUGGCGUAAUGAUGGCCAGGCUGUCUCCACCCGAGACUCAGUGAAAUUGAACUCGCUGUGAAGAUGCAGUGUACCCGCGGCAAGACGGAAAGACCCCGUGAACCUUUACUAUAGCUUGACACUGAACACUGGUCCUUGAUGUGUAGGAUAGGUGGGAGGCUUUGAAGCGUGGACGCCAGUCUGCGUGGAGCCAACCUUGAAAUACCACCCUUUAAUGGCUGGUGUUCUAACGUAGACCCGUAAUCCGGGUUGCGGACAGUGUCUGGUGGGUAGUUUGACUGGGGCGGUCUCCUCCCAAAGAGUAACGGAGGAGCACGAAGGUUGGCUAAUCCUGGUCGGACAUCAGGAGGUUAGUGCAAUGGCAUAAGCCAGCUUGACUGCGAGCGUGACGGCGCGAGCAGGUGCGAAAGCAGGUCAUAGUGAUCCGGUGGUUCUGAAUGGAAGGGCCAUCGCUCAACGGAUAAAAGGUACUCCGGGGAUAACAGGCUGAUACCGCCCAAGAGUUCAUAUCGACGGCGGUGUUUGGCACCUCGAUGUCGGCUCAUCACAUCCUGGGGCUGAAGUAGGUCCCAAGGGUAUGGCUGUUCGCCAUUUAAAGUGGUACGCGAGCUGGGUUUAGAACGUCGUGAGACAGUUCGGUCCCUAUCUGCCGUGGGCGCUGGAGAAUUGAGGGGGGCUGCUCCUAGUACGAGAGGACCGGAGUGGACGCAUCACUGGUGUUCGGGUUGUCAUGCCAAUGGCACUGCCCGGUAGCUAAAUGCGGAAGAGAUAAGUGCUGAAAGCAUCUAAGCACGAAACUUGCCCCGAGAUGAGUUCUCCCUGAGACUUUAAGUCUCCUGAAGGAACGUUGAAGACGACGACGUUGAUAGGUCGGGUGUGUAAGCGCAGCGAUGCGUUGAGCUAACCGAUACUAAUGAACCGUGAGGCUUAACCUUACAACGCCGAAG
rnacentral:rRNA from 1 species